AUGGGAAACCCAUGUGAUGCGGAGGACCUCAACUCUUUCUAUGCUUCCCCCAGCAGCACCGUUGGUAACGGCGUGAGGACACCCUUGUGCGACUCUCCUUGGCUUCUUAGGCGUACGUCAAAAGACAUUGCCCCACACAUUUAUGAAGCUUCCAAGAGAAAAAGUUGGAAGGUCAGUGAGGCCCUCAAGCACAACGUGUGGAUCCUUAAGAUCAAAAACCCCAUCAACGUCAUCACCGAGCACAUCACGCAAUUCUUCGCUCUUUGUACGCUUCUUAAUGAGGUCCACCUUGAUGAGCUCGCAGAGGAUGAAAUCAUUUGGAAGCAUACGAGCAAUGGGCAGUACUCGACAACAUCCGCAUACAAGGCACAAUUCCUAGGGAUGGUCCUUUAACCCAUGGAUAUGAUGAUUUGGAAGGUUUAGCCACCCCCAAAAGUUACUUUUUUUGCUUGGCUAGCCCUUUAAGAUAGAAUCUAGACGGGGGAUAGAUUGGCAAAGCGGGGAUGGCCAAAUUGUGAUGUUUUCCCUCUUUGCAAGAGGAGGCAAGUGUGCGGGCCAGAUCUCUUCUACAAGUGCCGCUACAUUCAGCGUCUUUGGCCUUUGGUCAUUGGGAAAUUCCCCAUGCUUGGGCUCGACACUUCCGACUGUCCCUUGUUUGACACGGUUGAAGAUUGGUGGGAAAGCACUUGCGCUGAGGGCACACCAAAUCGACAAGCCAAGGCCUCCAUCACCAUGCUUGUCUCUUGGACAGUCUGUAACGAGUGAGACGUGAGGGUUUUAAGCAUAAGUGUGCCCCACCGCCAAUCUUGCUUUCUUCCUUCUCCACCGAGGCAAACCUUUGGGCCAUUGCUAGAGCAAAGAAACUAG
rnacentral:rRNA from 1 species